rnacentral:rRNA from 1 species
GACGAACGCUGGCGGCAUGCCUAAUACAUGCAAGUCGAGCGGAGUUGACAGAAAGCUUGCUUUCUUGAUACUUAGCGGCGGACGGGUGAGUAACACGUAGGCAACCUGCCCUCAAGCUUGGGACAACUACCGGAAACGGUAGCUAAUACCGAAUACUUGUUUUCUUUGCCUGAAGGAAACUGGAAAGACGGAGCAAUCUGUCACUUGGCGAUGGGCCUGCGGCGCAUUAGCUAGUUGGUGAGGUAAGGGAUCACCAAGGCGACGAUGCGUAGCCGACCUGAGAGGGUGAUCGGCCACACUGGGACUGAGACACGGCCCAGACUCCUACGGGAGGCAGCAGUAGGGAAUCUUCCGCAAUGGGCGAAAGCCUGACGGAGCAAUGCCGCGUGAGUGAUGAAGGUUUUCGGAUCGUAAAGCUCUGUUGCCAGGGAAGAACGCUUGGGAGAGUAACUGCUCCCAAGGUGACGGUACCUGAGAAGAAAGCCCCGGCUAACUACGUGCCAGCCGCCGCCGUAA